AAAAUUAAAAAAAAAAAGCUGGUGGGGUCAGUUCAGUAAUCUCUUAGGCCCAAUAUUCUUCUUGGGAUUGGCUGUAAAAAGACUCUCAAUCUUCCUAUAAAUACCCCACCAUCGCCUUUCUCCACCUAUCUCCAUGGCCCUUCUGCAAAUCCCAUCUCUUCUUCUCUUUCUUCUAGGGUUUCAAAAUGAUGGGCUUCUUUUUGCAUGUUGAUUAUGCAUAUAUGAAUGGCCCUCUUCGUAUUCUUCCACAGCUUUCUUGAACUGCAUCUCUACAACGAAGCUUGUGGUUAUUGCAUGCCACGGCUCGCCAAUUAAGCGGCUUCUUGUUUUCUUGUUUUGUUGCGGUUCAAUAAAGCUGUGGGAAGAUACUGACAGGGUCAAGGAUGCUGCUGCUCUUUCUCCGAUCCCUGUGUUGUUGCCUUUGGCAGACAAGAUUUAUGGUGACCCAUGUGGUGGAGGUUCCAACUUCUAAAUAAGUUUGUAACUAUAUACAUUUAUAUAUUUGAAAUUAUUUGUUAUA